rnacentral:rRNA from 1 species
GACGAACGCUGGCGGCGCGCUUAACACAUGCAAGUCGAGCGAGAACCAGGCCUUCGGGCCUGGGGAAAGCGGCGAACGGGUGAGUAACACGUGGGCAACCCACCCUUGGUACCGGGAUAGCCCGGGGAAACCCGGAUUAAUACCGGAUGGCCCAGCAGCUCUUCGGGGCGGCUGGAAAAGGUAGCUUCGGCCUCCGACCAAGGACGGGCCCGCGGCGGAUUAGCUUGUUGGUGAGGUAACGGCUCACCAAGGCGACGAUCCGUAGCUGGUCUGAGAGGACGAUCAGCCACACUGGGACUGAGACACGGCCCAGACUCCUACGGGAGGCAGCAGUGGGGAAUCUUCCGCAAUGGACGCAAGUCUGACGGAGCAACGCCGCGUGAGUGAUGAAGGUUUUCGGAUCGUAAAGCUCUGUUGCCAGGGAAGAACGCUUAAGGGAGUAACUGCCCUUAAGGUGACGGUACCUGAGAAGAAAGCCCCGGCUAACUACGUGCCAGCCGCCGCAGUAACAC